CCUACGGGAGGCUGCCGUGGGGAAUAUUGGACAAUGGGGGCAACCCUGAUCCAGCCAUGCCGCGUGUGUGAAGAAGGCCCUCGGGUUGUAAAGCACUUUCAGUGAGGAAGAACGCCUGGUGGUUAAUACCCAUCAGGAAAGACAUCACUCACAGAAGAAGCACCGGCUAACUCCGUGCCAGCAGCCGCGGUAAUACGGAGGGUGCGAGCGUUAAUCGGAAUUACUGGGCGUAAAGCGCGCGUAGGUGGCUUGAUAAGCCGGUUGUGAAAGCCCCGGGCUCAACCUGGGAACGGCAUCCGGAACUGUCAAGCUAGAGUGCAGGAGAGGAAGGUAGAAUUCCCGGUGUAGCGGUGAAAUGCGUAGAGAUCGGGAGGAAUACCAGUGGCGAAGGCGGCCUUCUGGACUGACACUGACACUGAGGUGCGAAAGCGUGGGUAGCAAACAGGAUUAGAUACCCGAGUAGUC
rnacentral:rRNA from 1 species